rfam:Micromonospora rosaria strain DSM 803 contig020, whole genome shotgun sequence.
CCGGUUCCGGUUCACGCCCGUCCCGACCACACCGUCGGGGGCACCUCACCCGGGCGACCCGGCGACC